rnacentral:rRNA from 1 species
UACGUAGGGGGCAAGCGUUGUCCGGAAUUAUUGGGCGUAAAGAGCGUGUAGGCGGUUGUCCAAGUUGGAUGUGAAAGCCUUGAGCUUAACUCAAGAAAUGCAUUCAGGACUGGAUGACUAGAGGACCGGAGAGGAUAGUGGAAUUCCCAGUGUAGUGGUGAAAUACGUAGAGAUUGGGAAGAACACCAGUGGCGAAGGCGGCUAUCUGGACGGUUUCUGACGCUAAGACGCGAAAGCGUGGGGAGCAAACAGG